UACGUAGGUGGCAAGCGUUGUCCGGAUUUACUGGGUGUAAAGGGCGUGCAGCCGGGUCUGCAAGUCAGAUGUGAAAUCCAUGGGCUCAACCCAUGAACUGCAUUUGAAACUGUAGAUCUUGAGUGUCGGAGGGGCAAUCGGAAUUCCUAGUGUAGUGGUGAAAUGCGUAGAUAUUAGGAGGAACACCAAUGGCGAAGGCGGAUUGCUGGACGAUAACUGACGGUGAGGCGCGAAAGUGUGGGGAGCAAACAGG
rnacentral:rRNA from 1 species